GACGUAGGAGGCGAGCGUUAUCCGGAUUCACUGGGCGUAAAGCGCAUGUAGGCGGCUGGACAAGUCGUGUGUUAAAGCCCCUGGCUCAACUGGGGGAGGUCAUGCGAGACUGUUCGGCUGGAGGGCAACAGAGGCACGUGGAACUCCCGGUGUAGCGGUGGAAUGCGUAGAGAUCGGGAAGAACACCAGUGGCGAAGGCGACGUGCUGGGUUGCACCUGACGCUGAGAUGCGAAAGUGUGGGGAGCAAACGGG
rnacentral:rRNA from 1 species